rnacentral:rRNA from 1 species
AGAGUUUGAUCCUGGCUCAGGAUGAACGCUGGCGGUCUGCUUAACACAUGCAAGUCGAACGGAGUGCUUCGGCACUUAGUGGCGGACGGGUGAGUAACGCGUGAGAAUCUGCCUUCAGGUUGGGGACAACAGUUGGAAACGACUGCUAAUACCCAAUGUGCCGAGAGGUGAAAGCUUUAGUGCCUGAAGAUGAGCUCGCGUCUGAUUAGCUAGUUGGUGGGGUAACGGCUUACCAAGGCGACGAUCAGUAGCUGGUCUGAGAGGAUGAUCAGCCACACUGGGACUGAGACACGGCCCAGACUCCUACGGGAGGCAGCAGUGGGGAAUUUUCCGCAAUGGGCGCAAGCCUGACGGAGCAAGACCGCGUGAGGGAGGAAGGCUCUUGGGUUGUAAACCUCUUUUGUCAGGGAAGAAGCUCUGACGGUACCUGACGAAUCAGCAUCGGCUAACUCCGUGCCAGCAGCCGCGGUAAUACGGGGGAUGCAAGCGUUAUCCGGAAUUAUUGGGCGUAAAGCGUCCGCAGGUGGUUAUCCAAGUCUGCUGUCAAAGCGCGAGGCUUAACUUCGUACCGGCAGUGGAAACUGGGUGACUAGAGUAUGGUAGGGGUAGCGGGAAUUCCCAGUGUAGCGGUGAAAUGCGUAGAUAUUGGGAAGAACACCGGCGGCGAAAGCGCGCUACUGGGCCAUUACUGACACUCAUGGACGAAAGCCAGGGGAGCGAAAGGGAUUAGAUACCCCUGUAGUCCUGGCUGUAAACGAUGGAUACUAGGUGUUGCCCGUAUCGACCCGGGCAGUGCCGUAGCUAACGCGUUAAGUAUCCCGCCUGGGGAGUACGCACGCAAGUGUGAAACUCAAAGGAAUUGACGGGGGCCCGCACAAGCAGUGGAGUAUGUGGUUUAAUUCGAUGCAACGCGAAGAACCUUACCAGGACUUGACAUGUCGCGGAUCCCGGUGAAAGUCGGGAGUGCCUUCGGGAGCGCGAACACAGGUGGUGCAUGGCUGUCGUCAGCUCGUGUCGUGAGAUGUUGGGUUAAGUCCCGCAACGAGCGCAACCCUCGUUUCUAGUUGCCAUCAUUGAGUUGGGCACUUUAGAGAGACUGCCGGUGACAAACCGGAGGAAGGUGGGGAUGACGUCAAGUCAGCAUGCCCCUUACGCCCUGGGCUACACACGUACUACAAUGCUACGGACAAAGGGUUGCAAGUUCGCGAGGACAAGCUAAUCCCGUAAACCGUGGCUCAGUUCAGAUUGGAGGCUGCAACUCGCCUCCAUGAAGGCGGAAUCGCUAGUAAUCGCCGGUCAGCAUACGGCGGUGAAUACGUUCCCGGGCCUUGUACACACCGCCCGUCACACCAUGGGAGUUGGCCACGCCCGAAGUCGUUACUCCAACCGCAAGGAGGAGGAUGCCGAAGGCAGGGCUGAUGACUGGGGUGAAGUCGAAACAAGGUA